CCUACGGGAGGCAGCAGUGGGGAAUUUUGGACAAUGGGCGCAAGCCUGAUCCAGCUAUUCCGCGUGUGGGAAGACGGCCUUCGGGUUGUAAACCACUUUUGUAGAGAACGAAAAGUCUGUUGAUAAUACCGAUAGAUGAUGACGGUACUCUAAGAAUAAGCACCGGCUAACUACGUGCCAGCAGCCGCGGUAAUACGUAGGGUGCGAGCGUUAAUCGGAAUUAUUGGGCGUAAAGGGUGCGUAGGCGGCCUGCUAAGUCUGGAGUGAAAGGUACCGGCUCAACCGGUACAGGCUCUGGAAACUGG
rnacentral:rRNA from 1 species